UGAGAAGUAUUUACGGACAUGAGUUGGGC
rnacentral:piRNA from 1 species